CAGUCGCCGCGGUAAUACAGAGGGUGCGAGCGUUAAUCGGAUUUACUGGGCGUAAAGCGUGCGUAGGCGGCUUUUUAAGUCGGAUGUGAAAUCCCUGAGCUUAACUUAGGAAUUGCAUUCGAUACUGGGAAGCUAGAGUAUGGGAGAGGAUGGUAGAAUUCCAGGUGUAGCGGUGAAAUGCGUAGAGAUCUGGAGGAAUACCGAUGGCGAAGGCAGCCAUCUGGCCUAAUACUGACGCUGAGGUACGAAAGCAUGGGGAGCAAACAGGAUUAGAUACCCCUGAGUCCCUGUCUCUUAUACA
rnacentral:rRNA from 1 species